GCUCAUCUUCGAUGAAGCAGAUGCUUUUAUUGCACAGCUUCAGAACAAUUUUACAUAAAUAUGUUUUUCCGAGCGAUGCACGUUUCAAACUAAUUUCAACUUAAUCUGUUGACACCUGCUAUUAUCUCCAUUUGUACACAAAAGAACAGAUUCUUAAUCCCAAAGUGAUGUGAUGUCACUUCCAUGUAAGUGGCCGCUCACCAUGUGUUGCCAUGGCAACCCUCCCUGUCAUUUGGGGGUCUACCAGCCCACCUCUCUUCUUCACUCCCCUCUCUUGUCCUCCAUUUCUUUCAUUUUCCCAAGCUCUGCUCAUCAAAAGAAAGCCUGCUCAGAGAGCCUGGACAACCACCCUAUCCAGGCUGCAGAGAGUAUAUCAUAGCCACCGAGGACUCCCAUCGUGCCGGGAGGCGACCAGGUGCCCUCCAUGGAGCCUCCUUCACCCAGUGUCAAUGCUUCUCUGACGACCUCUGGCACCCUGACCACCACCACACUGGUCCCGUGGGACCAGGCGCACCUGCAGGGGCACACCAUCCUGAUCGUGGUCAUUUUUAGCGUCGUCUGCUUCCUGCUUCUGUUCGCCUUCUUCUACGCCUUCUGCUUUCAUUGCUCCAUCGGUUUGAUCGCUAAAGACUCACGCGCGGCCAAUGGAUCCAGCCCAGACCGCGAGGAAGCCACCUAUAGGUGCAGUUCAACUGAUAACCAGCCAGUGGAGAACAUUGUCUGAGCGGGACACUUGACCGGGAUUAACUGAUGUUUGACUCGUGUAUUUCUGUUAGGAUGAGACUAGUUUUGUUCUGGUGCCACGUAUGGAUGUGUGAACGCGCCAUCGGCCAGAGAGUAACUUACCGUAUUUCAAACAAAGCAUGAAAUCUGAUAUGUUGCUUUAAGUCCCAAGUGGAUUCCUCACUGUGCUUGAUCAACGAUUGAACAACAGCAGGGUUUCCCACAUCAGAUAAUUACUCAAAUACAGCGGUGAUUCCUUUUGAAGCUAAAACACACGGGUAUUAGGUAAGCGUGCAGGUGCACAUGCAUGCAUUUCACGUAAGAACACGUAGACACAAGAAGAACUUAUCCAUGGAGAAAUGUGUUCGAUAAAUGCAAAUGUUAAUUUGAUGCUGACUGCAAGUGCCUUUGAGUGGGAAGACAAAUAAAAAACAAUAGAAUCCA